AACGAACGCUGGCGGCAUGCCUAACACAUGCAAGUCGAACGAGACCUUCGGGUCUAGUGGCGCACGGGUGCGUAACGCGUGGGAACCUGCCCUUAGGUUCGGAAUAACUCCCCGAAAGGGGUGCUAAUACCGGAUAAUGUCUUCGGACCAAAGAUUUAUCGCCUUUGGGUGGGCCCGCGUUGGAUUAGCUAGUUGGUAGGGUAAAAGCCUACCAAGGCGACGAUCCAUAGCUGGUCUGAGAGGAUGAUCAGCGACACUGGGACUGAGACACGGCCCAGACUCCUACGGGAGGCAGCAGUGGGGAAUAUUGGAAAAUGGGCGAAAGCAUGAUCCAGCAAUGCCGCGUGAGUGAUGAAGGCCUUAGGGUUGUAAAGCUCUUUUACCCGGGAUGAUAAUGACAGUACCGGGAGAAUAAGCUCCGGCUAACUCCGUG
rnacentral:rRNA from 1 species